AAAGCGCGAUAUAGAAUUAAACCCUGUUUAUACGACACAUAUAAUUUCGUGAGUUGCUUUCAGUAGAGAUGCUAGACGCGUAAAAUUUUGUAUUCUAGUCUGGUCACACUUUUACAAAAUGUAAACAUACCGCACAAUGCGAUGGAUAAACUAAAAUUCUUUAUUUACAAUCGGCAAAUAAGAACCGGAAAAUUAAUUUUCAAAAUUACUGAGUGGUCGCACAGAAGGUCGAUGGUGAUUUUCACUUUUAUGCACAGCGUUGCCCCUGGUCUGCAUAGCGUUAAGUUGGUUGCGCACCACAAAUUCACGCUUUCAGGCUGAAUUCAAAGUCAACUUUCGUGUGUUGUCGUAUUCACGAAAUGGCGUUUAUACACACACGAAUCGGCUGAAAGCGUGCAAUGAUAGAGUGGCAUCGUAUAAACGCAGUAUAUAUUAACACAUCUAAAUUUGAUUGUGUAAGAGCGAAGUUUUUGUUCUGUCUAUUUUGAAAUCUGACUAUUAUUAUUUGUCGGUCAUGGACUUUAAAUUCUUCGAUGCUUUUUCUUAAUAAACCUGGUAUUUGCUCUUUUCGUUAAGCCAAUGUAUUGCUGCUAUUUCCUGUUCGGCUGUUGAUAUGUUACUUUCGCCUUUUGUAAACGUUCGAGAGGCGUGUGCUACUGGAAAGUCUAUACCAUCAUGUGAUUUGGUUAAGACGGCUCCGCAUGCUUGCUUACUAACAUCUGCUGUGAUACAAAAAUGUUUAUUGAAGCCUGGAUAUUGUGAGUCUUGAAUAAUGGGAGAAAUUUGUAUGAAGCCUUUGUAACAGUUUCAGGAAGCGAAACAUCUUCCUGCUUAUUCUGCAUCGAUGCUACAGGAUAUUUGAAUAUUGUGUCGUUUUUUAUGCCUUUAUUUGUGCACUUAUGACCUAAAAAUGUGACAAAGAGGUUAUUUAAAUUUUUGAUCCAAUGAUUUUGGAACUGCCUAAUACUACUCAAACAAUGUUAUGCACUUCGAACAGUACAAACAAUUGGCCCGACGACAUACAAAUUAUGUUAUUUGAUUUAUAUCAAUAAAAUAGUCGAUGACUUUUACGCCUAAUAUUUAGAAACUUUUCGUAAAAUUAAAAGGCGGAGUUUUAUUUUAAUGGUUAUUUAUUAACAGGGCCGAAGUGCCUCUGUUCAAAAUCGAAUAAGAACUGAAACAUAAAAUCAAACAAGACAAUCCCGCAACUUACGGUUACGAGA